UACGUAGGGGGCAAGCGUUGUCCGGAUUUAUUGGGCGUAAAGCGCUCGCAGGCGGCUCGAUGCGUCGUGCGUGAAACACCCCGGCUCAACUGGGAGAGGUCCUUGCAUACUGGCGGACUUGAGGGGGGUAGAGGAAAGUGGAAUUCCCGGUGUAGUGGUGAUAUGCGUAGAUAUCGGGAGGAACACCUGUGGCGAAGGCGGCUUUCUGGGCCCUACCUGACGCUGAGACGCGAAAGCGUGGGGAGCGAACAGG
rnacentral:rRNA from 1 species